rnacentral:tRNA from 1 species
GUUUCUCUGGCAGAAUAAUGCAAUAAACUUAGAAUUUAUAUAUACUAAAAUUAGUGAGAAAUA